rnacentral:lncRNA from 1 species
GCGUGUAUCUCUUUGUAUAGUCUUAAAGUGUUUGCUCUGGAUGUUACAAUAUGUGUAUUGUAAUAUAGUAGUCUACUGGUACCAGUAUUUACCACUUCAAAGUGUGGAAACCUGCCUUGCAUUUAUGUCUCUUUACCUUUUCCACUUGUAUAAAUCACUGGCUUGAGUAUUAGGUGGUGGUAUAGUUUUUGUUUCAGUCGUCAGAUGUGAUUUUAAGAACUGUGGAUUGUCUCGCGUAUGUAUCCACAUUUCUCGUCUUUCCUUUGUCCCUCCUCCCAUAGUCCCAUAUUCAUCCCUUCUGCAUAAGAACUUUCUAUAGCCAUUUUUUUAUUUUGAUUUUUUUGUUUUAAUUUUUUGUAUUGUGGAAAUGACAGAACAUAUUUCCGUAGCCACUUUUUAGCAUUUCUAAAUUGACCAGUGACAAAUUCCUAUAUUCUCUUCCUCUGAGAAUGUCUUUAUUUCUCUCUUCAUUUCUGAAGGGUAGUUUCAUGGGAUAUAGAAUUUGCCUUUCAUGUAUUCAGAGGUUUUCAGUAUUCGUAUAAUCAAACCUGAUAGUUUUCCUUUUGGUUUUGAGGUUGUGUCUUGUUUGGGUGAGUCUCCUACCCCUUUGACUACAGAAAUGCCCUUUCAUUUUAAAUAUCCUCCUAUUAUGAAACACAUUUCCACAUUUUCUAAAUUUUUAAUUUUUAGCUGAGAAAUAAAUUAGUAAUUAUUUAAGUAUUAAUUAUUUUUAUCUUGUUAUUAAUUAUUGGUUUUAUUUAUUUACAUGUAGUUGGCUUACAUUUAGUUUAGUUUAACUUAAUUACUUUAAAGUAAUGUAUAAAUAUCUGCAGUUUGUACCUCAUGUUCUCACUCAUAAGUGGGAGCUGAACAAUGAGAACACGUAGACACAGGGAGGGGAACAUCACACACCAGGUUCUAUCCAGGGGUUGGGGGCAAGGGAAAGGAGAGCAUUAUGACAAAUACCUAAUGCAUGCAGGGCUUAAAACCUAGAUGACAAAUUGAUAGGUGCAGCAAACCACCAUGGCACAUGUAUACCUAUGUAAUAAACCUACAUGUUCUGCACAUGUAUCCCAGAACUUAAAGUAAAAUUUUAAAAAAAAAAAUAAUUAAUUAAAAAUAUAUAUCUUCAGUUUGUAAACGUCCCGACAACGCAGGAACAGAGUUAAAAGAGUGUGUGUCGUCCUUAGCUGCUCCCACCCCAUCGUCUCCUCCCUAGCCAACCCAGCCGCCAGUCUGGCGUGCGCCUUCAAGGUUUCUUCCUAGACACUGGCAAACAAACAUCACUAUUUUCUGCCACAUGGUAUCUUUUAAACACACACGAUUGUUUUGUGCAGAAACUUUCUAUUUUUACCUCUCAUAAGUGUCCUGUGGAUUCUUUCCACGUCACUGUGGUGUGUGUGCGUGUGUGAGAUUCAAGUUCAGCUUGCUAAUCUUGUAGAAAGAAUUACACUCCACUUCCCCUGUGCUCUGGCCCUCCCUAACACAGCAGCCCAUCCCUGGAGGCUGAUGGAGCCCCUCGAGCACCUGCUUACCAUUUCUGUUUGUUCUGUUUGUUCAGGUUUUCUGCCUCCUGCUAAGCCAAUUUAUACAUUCCAAGAAAAGAAUGAAGCUGGCCUCCCAUGGAAUGAAGCUGGCCUCCCGUCUCCUUGAUUUGAAGCAGCUUCUCCACGUUGGUUAUUAUGCCAUUUUUCUAAAUCUAACAUUUUAAAAUUUGUGCCUUUUCUUUCUCUUUUGCUUGACUUCUCAGAGGUUUUUUUAACGGUCUUUUCAAAGAAGUGGUUUUGGGUUUUAUUUAUCAAGUCUACUUUUAUUAUGGCUGUUUUAAAAUUAAAUACAUUUAUUUCUUGUUUCCCUUAAAAAAGCU